AUUCUGUCCACCCUUCCACCUCCUCUUCUGUGGGAUUCCCUGAGCUCUGAGAGGAGGGGUUUGACUGAGGUCUCCAGUUUAGACUUUCUCUCUGUGCAAUGUCUGUCUGUGGGGCUCUGUGUUUGCUCCUAUCUGCUGCUGGAGGAAGCCUGUCUGGUUAUGGAAACAGGAUCAACGUUUCCAGGCUUCCAAAGUUGACUGAGGUCCAGCGACUCUCCAGGAAUACUCCAGGUCUUUGGACAGAUUGGAAGAGCUGAGCUACCCACCCUGCCUCAAGGACAGAGCAGAGACUUGCCAUUACUAUUUUGACUUAAGCUAAUUUAAUAAGUUCUUUGUGUCUUGUUCUCCUAGUAAACUUUGAUUAAGG
rnacentral:lncRNA from 1 species